AACGAACGCUGGCGGCAGGCUUAACACAUGCAAGUCGAACGGUUGUAGCAAUACAGCAGUGGCGCACGGGUGAGUAACGCGUGGAUAUCUGCCUUUUGGUUCGGAAUAACUCCGGGAAACUGGAGCUAAUACCGGAUGGUUACUACGGGAUAAAGAUUUAUCGCCAAAAGAUGAGUCCGCGUACGAUUAGCUAGUUGGCGGGGUAAUGGCCCACCAAGGCGACGAUCGUUAGCUGGUCUGAGAUGACGAUCAGCCACACUGGGACUGAGACACGGCCCAGACUCCUACGGGAGGCAGCAGUGGGGAAUAUUGGACAAUGGGGGCAACCCUGAUCCAGCCAUGCCGCGUGAGUGAUGAAGGCCUUCGGGUUGUAAAGCUCUUUUGGCGGGGACGAUGAUGACGGUACCCGCAGAAUAAGCCCCGGCUAACUUCGUGCCAGCCGCCGCAGUAACAC
rnacentral:rRNA from 1 species